rnacentral:rRNA from 1 species
CAGCAGCCGCGGUAAUACGUAGGUCCCGAGCGUUGUCCGGAUUUAUUGGGCGUAAAGCGAGCGCGGGCGGUUAGAUAAGUCUGAAGUUAAAGGCUGCGGCUUAACCAUAGUACGCUUUGGAAACUGUUUAACUUGAGUGCAGAAGGGGAGAGUGGAAUUCCAUGUGUAGCGGUGAAAUGCGUAGAUAUAUGGAGGAACACCGGUGGCGAAAGCGGCUCUCUGGUCUGUAACUGACGCUGAGGCUCGAAAGCGUGGGGAGCGAACAGGAUUAGAUACCCGAGUAGUCCCUGUCUCUUAUACA